AUUUGACUGUUGUAAGAUCAGAAUGAGCAUGCAGACCCACUGAGUUGACUGGCAAAGCUUUACUAUGGAUAACCACAGAUGCAACCGCAUGCUGUGUCUUUAGGAAAAUGGGAGCAAGUGGAUUGUGUCAGAUGUCCAAAUGGUAACCAUCACCUACUCAACUGGAGGAGACUAUUUUUGUGCCCGAUUUGCUUGCUGGAAACUGCAGAACUUCAAUGUCUGCAGUGAAAAUGGAAAGAAAAGAAAACCAGUUGUCUGCCUUGGUGAUGAGAGCAGAAAGUCAAGAGCAGCAAUAUAGGCAGCUAACAAGCAUUUAAUGAUUCAGCUGGUAGACAGGACUACAGCUGGACAUUGGAGAGAAGCAGCUUGACUUCAGAAGGACAGCUUGAUGGCAUAUAACUUCGGAGAAGCAUCCUGCCGGAGACAGCUGGGCUUCAGAGGAAGAUUACCUACCCACUCUGUCCCCUUUUCAGCUCCCCUUCCCACUGAGAGCUACUUUCAUUGGCAAUAAAGUCCCCUGCAUUUA
rnacentral:lncRNA from 1 species